GCACUACUGAGGAGUCCCACAAUAGGACGAAACGGCCGUCCAGUAA
rnacentral:hammerhead_ribozyme from 1 species